CAGCCCCCAGCCAGCCCGCCCGGCGCCCGCUCUUGUUUGGUGUUGACAGGGAGCGUUUCGUCAGGUUUUGGGCGGCCUGGAGAAGGGUGCCGAGCCCCGGCAGCCGUGACCGUGCCACACCGUCCGAGGGAGGGACCGGCAAGAGCCAGCGCGGUCCAGCUGCCGAGGUGCCAGACCCGAGAUCCCGGAACGGGGGUCGAAUCGCCACGUCCGCCUUAGCCCGCUCGGCCUGGCCGCGCUUCGCUUCCCCGUCUCCCCGCUCAGAGUGAAAGCCAUGGCCUGGAGGGCGCGCGUCCGACGCCGGGACGGGCCAAGCCCGAGGUCCUGCCACCCAGGAGCUCUUCAGAGGGAGAAACUGCAGACUGGCAGGGAGCAAGGCGAGGUUCUCCCUGCCUUGCCCCGUGGAUGAUGUCCCUGUGCGGGAAGCUUGCGGUGGGGAAGAGCAUCUCCUGGCUCCCGUCGGGAGGUUUCCCCUCCCAGGUGAGAAGUGGCCGCGACUGCCCCCGGGGAGCUGGAAGGUGCUGCUUGGUGGAUGCUCUGUUUUGAAGUCUUUAAAAUUUCUGUGAUCGAUUCCCUUAGAGAAAUUGCAGAAUACUGCUGCUCGCGGGCUCGUGCGCGGUGCCGGCUGGCCGUAUCGCUGCUGCGGUGUAUCGCAGCGGUAAUCCUGGUGAGCAGCGGGACCCGUCUCUGAGCUGCCCAGUGCAGAACGCAUCAUCUCUGCCCGAGAUUAAAAGUGGCUCAGUGAAGAGCAGUGUUUAGGAUGAAUUUG